rnacentral:rRNA from 1 species
UACGUAGGGUGCAAGCGUUUAAUCGGAAUUACUGGGCGUAAAGCGUGCGCAGGCGGUUAUGUAGGACAGAUGUGAAAUGCCCGGGCUUAACCUGGGAACUGCAUUUGUGACUGCAUGGCUAGAGUUUGGCAGAGGGGGGGUAGAAUUCCACGUGUAGCAGUGAAAUGCGUAGAUAUGUGGAGGAACACCGAUGGCGAAGGCAGCCCCCCUGGGUCAAGACUGACGCUCAUGCACGAAAGCGUGGGGAGCAAACAGG